rnacentral:rRNA from 1 species
AUUGGACAAUGGGGGCACCCCUGAUCCAGCCAUGCCGCGUGUGUGAAGAAGGUCUUCGGCUUGUAAAAACCUUUAAGCUGGGAGGAAGGGCUUUAGGUUAAUACCCUGAAGUUUUGACGUUAACCACAGACUAAGCACCGGCUAACUCCUUGCCAGCAGCCGCGGUAAUACAGAGGGUGCAAGCGUUAAUCGGAAUUACUGGGCGUAAAGCGCGCGUAGGUGGUUCAGUAAGAUGGGUGUGAAAUCCCCGGGCUUAACCUGGGAACUGCUUUCAUAACUGCUGAGCUAGAGUACGGUAGAGGGUAGUGGAAUUUCCUGUGUAGCGGUGAAAUGCGUAGAUAUAGGAAGGAACACCAGUGGCGAAGGCGACUACCUGGACUGAUACUGACACUGAGGUGCGAAAGCGUGGGGAGCAAAC